ACUUCCAGGAUGGGGGCACCCACAACUUCUCUGAGCAACCUGUUCCAGUGUCUCACCACCCUCACAUUAAAGAAUUUCUUUCCAAUACCCAAUCUAAAGCUACUCUCUGUCAGUUGAACCAUUCUCCCCUGUCCUGUCACUCCAGGCCUUUGCAAAUAUAACAAAACAAGUGCCUGUUGU